rnacentral:lncRNA from 1 species
GCAGGGGUGCGGCAAGCACAUCGACUCUGUCAUGAAGCCCAUACCGGUACAGGAGCAGUGCGCGUGCAAGCCGCGAUCCCAGGAUGAGUUCGAUAAAUGCCGGUAAUCUCAAUAGGGUGGAUGCCUAAAGAGCGUCUCGUAGCUGGAGAAUCAGCUGGCAUGCUCGCAGUGAGACUUCAUUUCUUCGGUGUGUCGGAAUGGGAAAGUCAAAGAAAGGGACGUCACAAGAUCAUCCAGAAGGAACGGGCAGGCUGGCAAGCGACGCCAUAUUUCAGAAAAGGCGGCAGUUGAAUAUGACAGUAUGUGCCUUGUCUAUCGAAAAUGCGCAUAUCUAAAGUGGCGGAAUAAACAAUCUAUGCAUGCGGCAUAUAAGGCAGGUCCACACCUCCACUGCACCUGUAACCGCCUAUUUCAUUGUACGCGCAGAUUUUCUAGAACGGCUCUCAGGGGAUGCUAGAGAAGAUGUGAGUGGUGUGGCUACUGCUAUGGCCUUGUUGUGUGUGUCCAUCCGAUGAACCUGUGAGAGAAACUUUGUUGGAAGGACACCCACGGGACAGCAGCGUGGAGUUUACAGUCCGCAACAACGGAGCGAAAGUGUAUCUGUCAGUCAGGGGAAGAUCCGUUGUCGGAGACGUGCCUACAGAAGCUGUAUCGUCAAAGAUAGUAGACGGCAAGGGUAUACAGAUCUGAAACAGUUUCCGUCGUGGUUCAUUAUCAGUGGACGCCGAUGCCGCUGCCAACGGUUUGUAACAUGUGUGAAAGCCGAUGAUUUGCGCAUUGUGGACCGUCGCGCCUAGCAAACUCUUCCAGGUUAAACUGCCACGCACCGAUGAAAGGUUUACGGCUGAUUUUUACAUCCUUUUUUCACGGCGAAGUCCUGUGCAUGGGCUGCAUUCAUCCCCAGAAAUGCAUUUGGUUUGCCCUUCCAAUCUAGUCAAAACCGGUUUUUCCCAGUGUGGCCGUCUCCACCACUCCCGCCGGCGUGUUAUUUUUUUCAUUUCAAGAGCUUCUCGAGUUUUCUUCUCUGCGUUUCUAAAACUCUCCAAAAUGUGUUACGAAGUAAAAUGUACACACUGUGGAAAGCGGACGUG